UUAGUUAGUUGGCGGAGUAACAGCCCACCAAGACGAUGAUCAGUAGCUGGUCUGAGAGGACGAACAGCCACACUGGAACUGAGACACGGUCCAGACUCCUACGGGAGGCAGCAGUGAGGAAUUUUGCUCAAUGGGCGCAAGCCUGAAGCAGCGACGCCGCGUGAAUGAUGAAGUCUUUCGGGAUGUAAAGUUCUGUCGAUGGGGACAAUUAUGAUGGUACCCAUAGAGGAAGCACCGGCAAACUAUGUGCCAGCAGCCGCGGUAAUACAUAGGGUGCAAGCGUUAUCCGGAUUUACUGGGCGUAAAGCGUAUGUAGGCGGUAUUCUAAGUCAAACUUCAAAUACUGAGGCUUAACUUCGGUUCGGGUUUGAUACUGAAAUACUAGAGUUUGAGAGAGGAAAGCGGAACUAACAGUGUAGCGGUGAAAUGCGUAGAUAUUGUUAGGAACACCCGUGGCGAAGGCGGCUUUCUGGAUCAACACUGACGCUGAGAUACGAAAGCGUGGGGAGCAAACAGGAUUAGAUACCCUGGUAGUCCACGCUGUAAACAAUGUACAUUAGGUAUAGGGGGUAUCGACUCCUCCUGUGCCGAAGCUAACGCGUUAAAUGUACCGCCUGGGGAGUACGGUCGCAAGAUUAAAACUCAAAGGAAUUGACGGGGGCCCGCACAAGCAGUGGAUCAUGUGGUUUAAUUCGACGAUACCCGAAAAACCUUACCAGAACUUGACAUCUAGGGAAUUUCGUAGAAGUACGAAGGUGCCCGCAAGGGAACCCUAAGACAGGUAGUGCAUGGUUGUCGUCAGCUCGUGUCGUGAGAUGUUAGGUUAAGUCCUGCAACGAGCGCAACCCCCGUAUUGUGUUGCUACAUUUAGUUGAGCACUCUCAAUAGACUGCCCGUGGUAAACGGGAGGAAGGUGGGGAUGACGUCAAAUCAUCAUGCUCCUUACGUUCUGGGCUACACACAUGAUACAAUGGCAAGCACAAAGGGAUGCCAAGCCGCAAGGCGGAGCAAAUCUCAGAAAACUUGCCUCAGUUCAGAUUGCAGGCUGCAACUCGCCUGCAUGAAGAUGGA
rnacentral:rRNA from 1 species